rnacentral:rRNA from 1 species
UUCCGGUUGAUCCUGCCGGAGGUCACUGCUAUUGGGAUUCGACUAAGCCAUGCGAGUCGCGAGGGUUCGGCCCUCGGCUGACGGCUCAGUAACACGCGGAUAAUCUGCCCUUAGGUGGAGGAUAACCUCGGGAAACUGAGAAUAAGACUCCAUAGAUCUAGGAGGCUGGAAUGCACUUAGAUCAAAAACUUCGGUGCCUAAGGAUGAGUCUGCGGACUAUCAGGUAGUAGUCAGGGUAAUGACCUGACCAGCCUAUGACGGAUACGGGUUGUGAGAGCAAUAACCCGGAGAUGAUAUCUGAGACACGAUAUCAGGCCCUACGGGGCGCAGCAGGCGCGAAAACUUCACACUGUGCGAAAGCACGAUGAGGGAAUCCCAAGUGCUGGCUCGUAAGAGUCAGCUGUUUUUCUGUCUAGAAAACAGAGAGAGUAAGAGCUGGGUAAAACGGGUGCCAGCCGCCGCGGUAAUACCUGCAGCUCAAGUGGUGGCCGCUAUUAUUGGGCCUAAAACGUUCGUAGCCGGUCUAGUAAAUGCCUGGGUAAAUCGUACGGCUUAACCGUACGAAUUCCGGGUAGACUGCUGGACUUGGGACUGGGAGAGGCUAGAGGUACUCCUGGGGUAGAGGUGAAAUUCUGUAAUCCUAGGGGGACGACCAGUGGCGAAGGCGUCUAGCUAGAACAGGUCUGACGGUGAGGAACGAAGCCCUGGGGCGCAAACGGGAUUAGAUACCCCGGUAGUCCAGGGUGUAAACGCUGCUUGCUUGAUGCUAGUCGGGCUCCGAGCCCGAUUAGUGUCGGAGAGAAGUUGUUAAGCAAGCUGCCUGGGGAGUACGGCCGCAAGACUGAAACUUAAAGGAAUUGGCGGGGGAGCACCGCAACGGGUGGAGCGCGCGGUUUAAUUGGAUUCAACGCCGG